ACCAUCCUUAGAGCUAAAUUCUCGAGCUAUAUAAUCAAAAGGGUCUAGCUGUUUAUUGAAUUAAUUUUUUUUUUAUUUGGAAAUGGACCAUCUUAGGAGAUCAGCAGUGUCGCUGAGGAGCAGAUGCAAUGGUCUCUUGGAAUGCCAAAAUGGGUUGUCUUCACUUUUGGAGCGGAAGCCUGUUAAGCGUGUAUCUGAUGCGGGCUUGCCUGCUUUUUCAUCAUCCAUGGCUGCACAGAAGACUUCAUUUGGUAAUUCGACCAAAAGGUUUCCAGUGGCAUUUAAGUCAGGUUAUGGGAGACAACCUACUGCUGAUGCCAACCAUAGGACCAUGGAGAUGCUUCAUGCUAAUGGAAAUACUGUUCUUCGUGGAGGGCACCUUGAUAAGGAAUGCAUGGUUCGUCAUGGAUCACAAUACCAACUCAUGAAAAUCCAUGGAGCAAACACUGUUAAUCCUUGCUAUGCUAGAUCAUUUGCUUCAAAAGCUUCCAAGCAAACAGAGGAAAGAACAUCUGAGACUAGAAAAGAGGUAUCUACGGUUGAGGAUCCCUUCAAUGCUCCUACGCAUAAUAUUCCAGAGAAGCCUGUGACAUUUGCAGAGGGGGCAUCCUACAGUAUUAUUAUUCUUGCAGGACUUGGAGUUGCGGCUGCUGCAGGUUAUGCCGUUUUCAAGGAACUGAUAUUUGAACCAAAAGAGUACAAGAUUUUUAACAAGGCUCUCAAAAGGAUUCAAGAUGAUGCUCAGGUCAGGGUGAGGAUUGGAUCCCCUAUUACAGGUUAUGGUCAGGAAAGUCGAAAUCGUGCUGCUCGCCAACGUAUUCCCAAUAAGAUCUACACUGAUGAAGAUGGCGUGGAGCAUGUACUGGUCAAUUUUUAUAUUCGUGGGCCACAUGGAGCCGGCAAAGUUUCUGCAGAGAUGUUUAAAGACAGGGUGGACAAGCAAUGGAAAUACACAUACUUGAUUGUCCAGAUUAUGCAACCCUCCCAAUCGCAAUUGAUUCUAGAGUCUUAUAUGCCGGCACCUACCAUGGUGCCUUCAUAAAAGACGUGUACAACUAUUCCAAGUUUACAAGUUACAAAGUUUUGGUUGUACCAAUUUACUGCACAUUAUAUUCAUGACUAAUUCUUACCAACAGUCAUGCAAAAUUUCUGAAUUUUUUUAAGACAAAACCUAUUUUAUAUAGAAAAA
rnacentral:misc_RNA from 1 species